UACGUAGGGAGCAAGCGUUGUCCGGAAUCAUUGGGCGUAAAGCGCGCGUAGGCGGCCUCAUAAGUCCGUUGUGAAAGUCAAAGGCUCAACCUUUGAAAGCCGAUGGAUACUGCGGGUCUCGAGUCCGGGAGAGGUGAGUGGAAUUCCUAGUGUAGAGGUGAAAUUCGUAGAUAUUAGGAAGAACACCAGUGGCGAAGGCGGCUCACUGGCCCGGUACUGACGCUGAGGCGCGAAAGCGUGGGGAGCAAACAGG
rnacentral:rRNA from 1 species